rnacentral:sRNA from 1 species
ACAGUCACCGAAGAAAUGAAGUUACAGGAGGGCGCACCGUCCUUUUGUCUCUGCCUUUGAGGUUGGUGGGAACUGAAACUGCAGAGCAUGGGGGUCCCUCGUACCCCUUCACGGACAGUGCUCUUCGAGCGGGAGAGGACGGGCCUGACCUACCGCGUGCCCUCGCUGCUCCCCGUGCCCCCCGGGCCCACCCUGCUGGCCUUUGUGGAGCAGCGGCUCAGCCCUGACGACUCCCACGCCCACCGCCUGGUGCUGAGGAGGGGCACGCUGGCUGGGGGCUCCGUGCGGGUGAGUGAGUGGCCGGGGGCUCUGUGUGGGUGUAGUGGCCGGAUCUGCUGGGGCUGCACACCCCGAGACAGGGGUGGGGGUGGUGGCGGCAGGCAGAUGCCCGAGGUAGAGAUGAGCAAACCAGGCUCAGCGAUCCUGGGUGCCCUGCGGGGGGCUGUGCCCAGGUCCCUGGACGUCCUGGUCAGCGGAACUUCCUCCUCUGGGCAGUGGGGUGCCCUGCACGUGCUGGGGACAGCGGCCCUGGCGGAGCACCGGUCCAUGAACCCCUGCCCUGUGCACGAUGCUGGCACGGGCACCGUCUUCCUCUUCUUCAUCGCGGUGCUGGGCCACACGCCUGAGGCCGUGCAGAUCGCCACGGGAAGGAACGCCGCGCGCCUCUGCUGUGUGGCCAGCCGUGACGCCGGCCUCUCGUGGGGCAGCGCCCGGGACCUCACCGAGGAGGCCAUCGGUGGUGCCGUGCAGGGUAGGUGGGCAGGGUGCCGGUCUGGGUCCCUUUGAUUGGCCACGGUCCACAUGGAAGGGAGAUUCCAGCGGGAAAUUGCCAUUCUGCCCCACCCCUGCCUCCAGCCACAAGGGAACCAACCAUCCCUUUCCCCAGGACCGUCCUGCGCCUCCCGUCCCAGGCAAAUCCCUCUACCCAGGACCGUCCUGCGCCUCCCGUCCCAGGCAAAUCCCUCUCCCCAGGACCGUCCUGCGCCUCCGGUCCCAGACAAAUCCCUCUCCCCAGGACCGUCCUGCACCUCCCGUCCCAGGCAAAUGGGUAUUGAUCACCCCCAGUCACCCAGUGGGCAGGAGCAGGCCCUCUAUGGCUGACCCGACUCUCUCUCAUCCCCCCCGCUAAUCUCUUUAUCUGCAGAGGAGAAGGCUGGACGCUGAGGUGUCUCUCAGCUCCCAAACCAACAGCCACCCCACCCCACCCCUUCCUCUUAUUCUUUACUCCCUUCUCACCCUGCCCAGGGCCUGGCCAGGCCUCACCCACAACUUUCCCUCUACCCCAUCCUCUGUGGCCACCUGACCCCGGCCCGUGGGAGCUACAGCAGGGAGUGGAGCAGACACAUGGCCAACCCAGGGACCCCACUGCAGGGCCUCAUGCCCCCCGCCUGCCCUCCGCUCUCUCUGUGUGGGCAGCGCUCACCAGCCUCCCUGGGUGCCGUCCACCUGGGCUCGGCUGCUAAGGGCUGUGAGAGGCUUGUUCAGCCUGGGAGGACUCAGGGCGGCUGGGAUGAGUCGUGUGGAAGGGCGGUCAGAGUGCGACGGUCCUAACCCGAGGCACCACCCCCUCCUUCCCCGUCCCCCUGUGCCUUCCUCCAGCCCCCCGACCUCGGGGACCCAGCAGCCCCUCCCACCUCUGCCCUCCUCCCUGCAGACUGGGCCACAUUUGCCGUGGGUCCCGGCCACGGCGUGCAGCUGCCCUCAGGCCGCCUGCUGGUACCCGCCUACACCUACCGCGUGGACCGCCGAGAGUGUUUUGGCAAGAUCUGCCGGACCAGCCCUCACUCCUUCGCCUUCUACAGCGAUGACCACGGCCGCACCUGGCGCUGUGGAGGCCUCGUGCCCAACCUGCGCUCAGGCGAGUGCCAGCUGGCGGCGGUGGACGGUGGGCAGGCCGGCAGCUUCCUCUACUGCAAUGCCCGGAGCCCACUGGGCAGCCGUGUGCAGGCGCUCAGCACUGACGAGGGCACCUCCUUCCUGCCCGCAGAGCGCGUGGCUUCCCUGCCCGAGACUGCCUGGGGCUGCCAGGGCAGCAUCGUGGGCUUCCCAGCCCCCGCCCCCAACAGGCCACGGGAUGACAGUUGGUCAGUGGGCCCCGGGAGUCCCCUCCAGCCUCCACUCCUCGGUCCUGGAGUCCACAAACCCCUAGAGGAGGCUGCUGGAGACCCCCGUGGAGGCCAGGUGCCUGGUGGGCCCUUCAGCCGUCUGCAGCCUCGGGGGGAUGGCCCCAGGCAGCCUGGCCCCAGGCCUGGGGUCAGUGGGGAUGUGGGGUCCUGGACCCUGGCACUCCCCAUGCCCUUUGCUGCCCCGCCCCAGAGCCCCACGUGGCUGCUGUACUCCCACCCAGUGGGGCGCAGGGCUCGGCUACACAUGGGUAUCCGCCUGAGCCAGUCCCCGCUGGACCCGCGCAGCUGGACAGAGCCCUGGGUGAUCUACGAGGGCCCCAGCGGCUACUCCGACCUGGCGUCCAUCGGGCCGGCCCCUGAGGGGGGCCUGGUUUUUGCCUGCCUGUACGAGAGCGGGGCCAGGACCUCCUAUGAUGAGAUUUCCUUCUGUACAUUUUCCCUGCGUGAGGUCCUGGAGAACGUGCCCGCCAGCCCCGAGCCGCCCAACCUUGGGGACAAGCCUCGGGGGUGCUGCUGGCCCUCCUGACAGGCCUUCUGGCCGUGCCCAUGCCCCUUGGGUGCCUGGGGCAGAGGGGUGGAAUACAUUGGGGUGCCCCACCAUAGCUGUGGGGGGGCUCUUAGUGCAGGAUCCUGUGGAUUAGAAACAAGUUGCUCCUCAGAGCUCUCAAGCAGGGACUACUCUUUAGGAAGGGGAGCAGCAGCUGGGAGUGAGCAGGGCAGGGUGGGGGCACGAAGUGGGCCCUGGGUGACCCCCACAGCUCCCUUCCGAGGCUGCAGGGCCAGGCGCGGGACCGCAGGUAGCCCAGGGUGUUGUGGGUGGCAGCACUUGUUUACUGGCUGCUUUCUGGCUCGAAAUAAAGGAAUCGUGCUUGUGU